GACGAACGCUGGCGGCGUGCUUAACACAUGCCAGUCGAACGGAAAGGCCCUGCUUUUGUGGGGUGCUCGAGUGGCGAACGGGUGAGUAACACGUGAGUAACCUGCCCUUGACUUUGGGAUAACUUCAGGAAACUGGGGCUAAUACCGGAUAGGAGCUCCUCCGCCUGGGUGGGGGUGGGAAGUUUCCGGCGGUUGGGGAGGGCCUCGGGGCUUUUCAGUUUGUUGGUGGGUUAGUGGCUUACCAGGGCUUUGCCGGUUAGCCGGCCGGGGGGGGUGACGGGCCAAAUGGGGAAUGAGAGGGCGCCCAAGCUCCUACGGGAGGCAGGAGUGGGGAAAAUGGCACAAGGGGCGGAAGCCGGAUGGAGCAACGCCGGGGGGGGGAAGAGGGCCUUGGGGUUGUAAACCGCUUUCGCCUGGGACGAAGCGUGGGGGACGGUAAUGGGGAAAGAAGCACCGGCUAACUACGU
rnacentral:rRNA from 1 species